UUAUGCUAAGAAGGAAAGAAAGAAAGAUUCUGCGGGAAAAAAGAAGCUGAGAAUAUGCAAAAAAAAUGAGGAAUUGAUGUCGAAGAAUGUUUAGCAGAGCAGCUGAAUCCAGGGAUUCUCUGCAGCUAGCGGACAUUAGGGAUUUCUUCCCAACGCCCAAAAAGGUUCAUCCCAGGUGUUAUCUCUGUUGAACUUACUUUUUAAAAUUGCAUAAUCUGAUAUUAGUUGGAGUUGCAUUCGGUUUCUAAGCUACUUUUAAACUCUUCUUGAGGAGGAUUCGAAAACCCGAUUUGGGUAUUUAUUUUAUUAAUUAGUUAAUUGGGAGAGAUCAAGAUCAGGAAAAUUUGUGUAAAUGGGAGGGAUCAAGAUCAGUGACCUUCCAGAUGAUCUGCUCUGCCAUAUUUUAUCUUUUCUUCCCACAACCAAAGGAGCCGCUGUUACCUCUGUUUUGUCAACCCGAAUUCGAUUUUAAUCCUCGCAAGCAUGUGAAUGAACUCCCUGACAACAGUGAUGAGGAUGCCCGUGAUCGCCUGUUCUCUGAUUUCGUAAGUUUUGUCAAUAGACUGAUUCUGCUAAGGAAUGGGAAUCGUCCAAUAAGAAAAUUUGAACUCUUUCUUUUGGCGGUUGAGGAAAGGUUUCGGGUGGCGUUUGACUCUUUAAUUAGUGCUGCGCUUUCUUCCAAGCUUCAGGAACUUAAGAUUUUUGUGGAUUAUAAUCGGGGUCAUUACAGUCCACGCUUAUCUCCUGAGGAGGUGAAUUUUACGUGCAAUACACUAACUUGUUAGAAACUACACUGGGAAGUGAAUUUGAGAGUCCCCAAGUCAGUUUCUUUACCAAACCUUAAGGUAUUGCACUUGGAACAAUUCGCAUUGGUCGAUGGGAUUCCAUUCAGAAGCUUAUUCGUGGUUGUCCUUUGCUUCAAGAACUAGUGGUGGAUUGCAUUUUGGACCUUUCCCGUGCUGAGGUUAGAAGUAUUUGAAUUGAAAUUCUUGAUAUUUGUAAUCCUUGUAUAGAAACUCUGAAGCUGAGACUUAGUUCCUACUAUGUGGAUACUACUGUUCUUGUGGAGUCCAACACUCUCAGGAGUUUGGACCAUGAAUAUUUCGGGUGCGUCAUUCUCAGUCAUCAUAAAAUCUUUAUCAAUGCGCCAAAUCUCAGACAUCUGGCAUACAAAGGUGUUGCAAAUGGACUAGACAUCAUUCAAGGCUUGAACUCUCUUGUUAGAGCUAAAUUACUCAUUUCGUACCAUGAUCUAUUAGUGCCACAUGUUGUGAAGGUACUCAAUGGAGUGCAAAGUGUGGAAUCGCGUUGUUUGUGUGUGUACAUUCCGGAUGCUUUUUAUGAUUCUGGGUUUUCCUUGCCCACUUUCAAGAAUUUGAUCAGUUUGGAGUUGGUGGCAUUUACCCAAGUUCAGUCCCUAACUGAUCAUGAUAUUAAGAUAGCCUUUGACUGCAUCCAUUCCUGGCAAAAAGGUACAAAGCUUAAUCGCAAGUGCACCCCAACUGAUGAAGCUUGUCUUUGAUCAGGUGUGUCAUGCUGAAAAUGUUUUAUCAUGAACUAGUAUUGCAUUCAGUGUUCUGUUCCUUUUUUUAACUGACAGGUGAUUGGGGAUGAUAACAUUAAAGAAGAGGAAUUUGAGGUGCUAUUGCCAUAGCUUAUUCCAAUAUGUUCCAAUUUACAUCUCAAGGAAAUAGAAAUUUCAGAGUUCAACGGGAAGGAAUAUGAAUUAAAGCUAGUUGAGCAUCUUUUACAAAACGGGCAAGCUUUGAAAAAGAUGACUCUUGGUGGAUUUUUAGAAGUCCCAGUUUGCAAACGAAUAUUGUCAUACAGGAGAUCUUCUGAGGAUUGCAAGGUUUUGUUACGUGAAGCUAAAUCAGUUUGUAGUUCUGAUGAGUACUAAUAGGAACAAAUGAUUGUUUUUCUCUUUGUUGGUCAGAGAAGUUAUUUUACAUGUUAUGACUGCUUCGUUUGCUGAACAGUGGAUAUUUCAAAUCUGGUUUUGGCAUUCUAACAUGCCUCGUAAAUACUCAAUAUCUGUUAAAAACUUCAGGAAUUAAAGAUAUUAAAGCAAUUUAUGCUGACUUCUAUUUGAAUCAGGUGCAAGAAAGUAAGCAUUUUAAUUGAACGCCAAAACUCGUUGUUCCUAGUGGGCUUGGUUUUGUCAAAGUUUGUAGAAGAAAGCUUCUCUAGAUAUACCUGAUGCAGAAACUAUGUAGAGCACAUUUUUGUGUGGAGCAAGUCAUUUUAAUUAUAGUCUGUAUUUAGAGAAAAUUUCUAGGAGACGCUGGAUUAUUUUGGAUAUUUAGUGAUUUAUCAUGCAUUGCAGCUUUUGUUAUGAUCACUGCUUUUGCCCCUUCUUGGCUUUGCUCAUUUGUCUCAAGUUACAUCUUUGUCUUCUAACAUGUGGAGCUAUAAAAAGGAAUUAAUUGUUCAACCUUCAACUAUAUCGUUCAGUCAAUCCAGGAAUUCAGGAGUAAAGAUUGGGAAUCAAUUGAUUGUCUUUUGCUUCUUGAAUUGAUCAGUGAUUGUUAUUCCCUCUAUCUUAUUCGCUUGCGCAUUUUAAGAACAAGUAAUAAUUACUAUGGCUUGCAUCUGACUGCUUUUCUUGUUUGCCACUUUUUUUUUUUGGAAAUAAUGCCAGUUAAGGAUACGAGUUUUUCUUGCCUUUUGAUGCAUGAACUGAUUAUUGAUUGCUAAUCGCCCUUGUCCAUUAGAUAAAAAAGAAACAAAAUUAAAGAAAAACAAAGAGUUAUGGUUCUUGAAGCCUGCAACUAUGUGCUUUUGUCAUGUUGUUGCUCUCAGUCUUCCAUUUUGUUUUAAUUUUUCUUCCUUUUUCUGAAGGAGUUUGCGAGGAGAUUUCUCUCUAAUUAAUCUUUGCAUUGAGGUCCAGUGGUUUUGCUUUUAUUAGAUUGAGAAUUUUCAACUUUUAUUUCAAGUUGCACAAGAAUUAUAGGAAUGUUUAAGAGAUGCUCUGAGGACUGAUUGUAUUAUAAGAAUCUAGGGAUGUGAUGUGUAUUGGUUUCGAAGAUGCCGAUAACUCUAGAGGAGAUCUUCUACUUAUCGUGGUAGCUGAUUUUUGAUGUAUUAAAACGUCUUGGAUUGAGAAAUGGUUGAUCUUUCUAUAGUGAAAUGCCAGUCAAGGUUUCUUUUUCAAAUUCUGUUAUGCUUUCUGAGUCGCUCAUAUGUGCUUCUAGUUGGAUGGAAUUAAACAUAAUUAGUUGAUAUAACAACAUAGCACCAUUGAUAUUUGCUAGUUGAUUCAUAAUUUAGGUAGUACAUUUGUUAUUAUUGUAAAACAUAGAAAAAUUGCUUAUUGCCUUUAGGUUAAAUGUUAAGUCAUAUGCUCCUGUUGAUCUAUAAAGGAUUGCUUACUCGUAUUAUAGGCGAAGCAUAAACUAUGAAAAGCAAUGCUGUUGUACCGUGUAUUUAUCAUUUCAACAAUUGCCUGAAAACUUCCAGGAGUCCCUUGAUCUUAUGGUUAUAGGUGAUAUCAGAUCCCUUGAUGUCUGUGUUCCUACUUGAUUGUUGUACUUGUCUUCUUUUACUGUAUGUUUUCGAUUAUAAUCCACUUCUGUUCACAUCUUUCUUUGAGAUGUUUUCUGUUUCAAAGAUUGACCUAGAAUUAAAAUUUGUGAGUAAAAAUCAUGUAUCAAGCUGUGGGUGUUUCUCUUGCCUUUGGCUGCUUGAACAGUUUGGAUCGAUUUUUUAUUAUCAUUCUUUUCAAGAAUUUUGCUCUAACUAUUUGAACAUGCAUGGAACCCUGAAGCGUGCUAUGUGAACUUGUUCUGUACUCUUGCUGCGUCCGUGGAAAAGGAAACUUGAAUUUUUGGCUUUUGAGAUUGGAGAGCACAAAGAUUAAGCCUUGUUUGGAUUGCAUUUUUCUGGAUUUUUUUGUAGAAAAAUUACUGUAGCGAUUUGAUAUAUGUGAGGUAAAAAGGUGAUUGGGAAAUGUGUUCACGGAAAACGUAGCAAUUUUUCUGAAAAACAAGGCCUUAGCUUUAGCUUUUAUAUCUAGCUUACAAUAUUUCAUGGAAUUUGACUCAGAAAUUUUGUAUCUCUAUAAGCUCACAGCUAAUUGUUUCUAUUUGAUUAAGAAAGCUGUAACACCAGUUCUGAACUAUGGCAAUGAGUUGAAGCACUAAAAGAACUUGACAAAGGCUAGUUUAAACUAACAAAGCAUAUUGGUAGUGUAUUCUUUUUGUUCUUGUCUAUGUAGCACUUCCUGGUGAAUAAACUUUCAAGCUUUUGGAACCAGCAACAUUCCUACUACAGACCACCCUGGUAAAUCUUGGUGAUGAUUGGGUUGUAGAUACUCUGAAGCUCCUUCAUCUUGUACUCAUACUCCUCCAUCUCGGUAAGCUGAUUCCUUUCCAACCAUUCAAUGGACUGCUGAAUCAUAUCCUCAAAUGCUUUUGUUGUUUGCCGUUUGCAGCUUAGCUCUUCUCAUCCCUGACAGCAUUUCUCAACAUGUAGAUAUAAUCCUCUAACGCAAUCUCUGUUGUAACCUUUUUCAUGAACUCCUCGUUUUCUUAACUUCUUUGUUUCUUCCACCAUCUUCUCAAUUUCUUCUUUUGACUGUCUUCCAAUUUCAUACAGAUUUCUUCCUCCAUUUUAGUAGGGAUGGAGGUGUUCCUAGGGAUCACAACAUUAAUGCGAUCUUCAAUAAGUUCUACACCAAGAGAUAAUGGGGGUUACAUCCACCAGUACAAGGUCCUUAAUCUUCUGGUUGUCCCCGCCACCCAAGAUUGCGACUUGAACAGCUGCACCAUAGGCAACAGCUUCAUCACGGCUGGUCUUCUUGUGAAGCUCCUUGCCAUCGAAGAAGUCUUGCAACAAUUGCUGAAAUAUGUGAAUCCUGGUUGAACCUGUAGAAUCUGAAAACUAUUAGAGCGAGGAGAUUAACUUUUAUCACUCACAAAUACAUGUGGGGAGGCAAUUUACACGCAUACAAGCAUGUGUGAAAGAAGAGAAAUAAUAUUAUUGAGAAUAAAUUAUAUUUUACCUUCUUGUGA